UUGCGGCGACAUCAGGUUGAAACACCCGUUCCCGUACGAUAGAAGUUAAGCAACGUAGAACCUGGUCAGUACCUAGAUGGGUGACCGCUUUGGCAUACCAGGUGCUGUAA